rnacentral:rRNA from 1 species
UGCCCUGGCAGUCAGAGGCGAUGAAGGACGUGCUAAUCUGCGAUAAGCGCCGGUAAGGUGAUAUGAACCGUUAUAACCGGCGAUUUCCGAAUGGGGAAACCCAGUGUGACUCGUCACACUAUCAUUAACUGAAUCCAUAGGUUAAUGAGGCGAACCGGGGGAACUGAAACAUCUAAGUACCCCGAGGAAAAGAAAUCAACCGAGAUUCCCCCAGUAGCGGCGAGCGAACGGGGAGGAGCCCAGAGCCUGAAUCAGCAUGUGUGUUAGUGGAAGCGUCUGGAAAGGCGCGCGAUACAGGGUGACAGCCCCGUACACAAAAGCGCAUGUGCUGUGAGCUCGAUGAGUAGGGCGGGACACGUGGUAUCCUGUCUGAAUAUGGGGGGACCAUCCUCCAAGGCUAAAUACUCCUGACUGACCGAUAGUGAACCAGUACCGUGAGGGAAAGGCGAAAAGAACCCCGGCGAGGGGAGUGAAAAAGAACCUGAAACCGU